CCCUGCAAAUUCUGAUGGCCAAGCAACCCGGGAAGGUCUAAUAUGAAGACUCUGCCAUAUCCAUAAGGUCAAUGUUCUUCUUCCAGUCUGCAAUUCAGUACUGCAAUUACAGAACAUUAAAAUCACCAUCAGUUGUUUGCCGACCUGAUACUGAACCGAUCAGACGGAGCUGAUCGUUUCAUGCCGAGAUAAGUAUAUUUUUCGUCCCACAACUGCAGGAAGUGUAUAUUUGGUUUCUAAUUUUUUUCAUAGAUAUUUCGUCCCUCAACUGUCUAAAGUGAACAUUUUUUGUCAAACGACCCACACUUUUUUUCUGGAUAAAGAGAGCUUUUAUUGAACUUAGAGGUCUCAUCAAGAAGAUACAUCAAGUAAAGUUCACACACAGUCUCUACAUAACAAGAUGCACAUAGGCUAACAAACCAAAAGAGAAGAAAAACUGCAAAUGCCUUUAUACGACCAACAAAAAAAAUGCACGACGGAGCCUGCAGCUGAAGAUUAAGUUGUCACUCAUUGUGGAUAAAAACCUCCCGAGCUCACUCUACUUCUCACUACAGUAACGCUAAGAAACAGAGCCAAUGACUAUAUUGAAAGAUAACCAGCAUAGGAGAUUGUCUGUUAUUAAAAAUAAUGACGUUCAUAGCCAAAUCGACCGGAGAAAAUCACCAUUGCUCCAACGAAAAUCUUAACUCUAAACUUACCGCCUAUGCCAUGUAGCUAUUUCACAUAUGUCCAUCCGCCGGUAGCACACGCUCACGUCGCCAGUCUCCGUUUCUCGUGGCACCCACUUCCGAAGGAGAAGUGACGGCUCAUGCUCCGGAUCCUAGACAUUAUUGAUAACGAGUAGGAAAAUGAGGAGAAGAGGGCCAUCCACAAAGAAGCGAAUGAGCAAGCAGAUAAGCAAGAGAGGGCGGAACCAACCACAUAGAUUGAGAGAGCAGAAAUGUUUGCUUUUGACCGUUGAGAACCGAAAUGUCUACGGAAAAUAAGAGAUCAGU
rnacentral:lncRNA from 1 species